CAGCAGCCGCGGUAAUACGGAGGGUGCAAGCGUUAUCCGGAAUCACUGGGUUUAAAGGGUGCGUAGGCGGAUAGAUAAGUCAGAGGUGAAAGCCCGCAGCUUAACUGUGGAAUUGCCUUUGAUACUGUUUAUCUUGAAUAAGGUUGAGGUUAGCGGAAUGUGGCAUGUAGCGGUGAAAUGCAUAGAUAUGCCAUAGAACACCAAUUGCGUAGGCAGCUAACUAGGCCUUUAUUGACGCUGAGGCACGAAAGCAUGGGGAGCGAACAGGAUUAGAUACCCUGGUAGUCCAUGCCCUAAACGAUGCUAACUCGAUGUUUGGGUCCUAGACUUGAGCAUCCAAGGGAAACCGUUAAGUUAGCCACCUGGGGAGUACGUCGGCAACGAUGAAACUCAAAUGAAUUGACGGGG
rnacentral:rRNA from 1 species